UGGCGAACGGGUGAGUAAUACAUCGGAACGUGUCCUGUAGUGGGGGAUAGCCCGGCGAAAGCCGGAUUAAUACCGCAUACGACCUAAGGGGGAAAGCGGGGGAUCUUCGGACCUCGCGCUAUGGGGGUGGCCGAUGGCAGAUUACCUGGUUGGUGGGGUAAAGGCCUACCAAGGCGACGAUCUGUAGCUGGUCUGAGAGGGCGACCAGCCACACUGGGACUGAGACGCGGCCCAGACUCCUACGGGAGGCAGCAGUGGGGAAUUUUGGACAAUGGGGGCAACCCUGAUCCAGCAAUGCCGCGUGUGUGAAGAAGGCCUUCGGGUUGUAAAGCACUUUUGUCCGGAAAGAAAACUGCCACCCUAAUAAAUGGUGGUGGGAUGACGGUACCGGAAGAAUAAGCACCGGCUAACUACGUGCCAGCAGCCGCGGUAAUACGUAGGGUGCGAGCGUUAAUCGGAAUUACUGGGCGUAAAGCGUGCGCAGGCGGUCUGUUAAGACCGAUGUGAAAUCCCCGGGCUUAACCUGGGAACUGCAUUGGUGACUGGCAGGCUUUGAGUGUGGCAGAGGGGGGGUAGAAUUCCACGUGUAGCAGUGAAAUGCGUAGAGAUGUGGGGGAAUACCGAUGGCGAAGGCAGCCCCCUGGGCCAACACUGACGCUCAUGCACGAAAGCGUGGGGAGCAAACAGGAUUAGAUACCCUGGUAGUCCACGCCCUAAACGAUGUCAACUAGUUGUUGGGGAUUCGUUUCCUUGGUAACGUAGCUAACGCGUGAAGUUGACCGCCUGGGGAGUACGGUCGCAAGAUUAAAACUCAAAGGAAUUGACGGGGACCCGCACAAGCGGUGGAUGAUGUGGAUUAAUUCGAUGCAACGCGAAAAACCUUACCUACCCUUGACAUGGUCGGAACCCUGCUGAAAGGUGGGGGUGCUCGAAAGAGAACCGGUGCACAGGUGCUGCAUGGCUGUCGUCAGCUCGUGUCGUGAGAUGUUGGGUUAAGUCCCGCAACGAGCGCAACCCUUGUCCUUAGUUGCUACGCAAGAGCACUCUAGGGAGACUGCCGGUGACAAACCGGAGGAGGGUGGGGAUGACGUCAAGUCCUCAUGGCCCUUAUGGGUAGGGCUUCACA
rnacentral:rRNA from 1 species